UUGGAGGAAGGUGGGGAUGACGUCAAAUCAUCAUGCCCUUUAUGACCUGGGCUACAAACGUACUACAAUGGCCAAUACAAAGAGAUGCGAAGCGGUGACGUGGAGCGAACCUCAGAAAGUUGGUCUCAGUUCAGAUUGAAGUCUGUAACUCGACUUCAUGAAGGCGGAAUCGCUAGUAAUCGCGGGUCAGCAGACCGCGGUGAAUACGUUCCCGGGUUU
rnacentral:rRNA from 1 species